rnacentral:rRNA from 1 species
UACGUAGGGUGCGAGCGUUAAUCGGAAUUACUGGGCGUAAAGCGUGCGCAGGCGGCGCGUUAAGACAGGUGUGAAAGCCCCCGAGCUUAACUUGGGAAUUGCGCUUGUGACUGGCGAGCUGGAGUGUGGCAGAGGGAGGUGGAAUUCCACGUGUAGCAGUGAAAUGCGUAGAGAUGUGGGAGGAACACCGAUGGCGAAGGCAGCCUCCUGGGCCAGCACUGACGCUCAUGCACGAAAGCGUGGGGAGCAAACAGG